GAUGAAGAACGCAGCGAAACGCGAUAUGUAAUGUGAAUUGCAGAAUUCAGUGAAUCAUCGAAUCUUUGAACGCACAUUGCGCCCGCCAGUAUUCUGGCGGGCAUGCCUGUUCGAGCGUCAUUUCAACCAUCAAGCCCCCGGCUUGUGUUGGGGACCUGCGGCUGCCGCAGGCCCUGAAAACCAGUGGCGGGCUCGCUAGUCACUCCGAGCGUAGUAAUACAUCUCGCUCAGGGCGUGCUGCGGGUUCCGGCCGUUAAAAAGCCUUAUUUACCCAAGGUUGACCUCGGAUCAGGUAGGAAGACCCGCUGAACUUAAGCAUAUCAAUAAGCGGAGGA
rnacentral:misc_RNA from 1 species